rnacentral:lncRNA from 1 species
AUUGAUUCUCGACUUCCUGUUUAAAUUCCUUAAACUUCUCGAAAGUCUCUGAUUUAUGCUUGAUUAAGUAGACAUAUCCGUAUCUACUGUAAUCAUCAGUAAAAGUCAAAUAAUAACGAUUAGCAUCCCUUGUGGCAUGUUUGAAUGGUCCACACACAUCCGUGUGUAUAAGGUCCAACAAACCUUCACCCCUCUCACACGAGCCUGUGAAGGGUGACUUUGUCAUUUUUCCAAGUAAGCAUGAUUCACAACUAUCAUUUGACUUUAGGUCAAACGACUCCAAGACUCCAUCCUUUUGGAGUUGGCCUAUGCGUUUCUUGCUUAUAUGUCCAAGACGACAAUGCCAUAAUGAUGCUUUAUCCAAGUUAUUAUUAUUAGUAGAAUCAAUACACAAAACAUUAUUUCCUAAGUUAUCUACAACAGACACAGCUUCAUACACACCAUCACAAGGUAAUGCUUUAAAAUAAAAAACAUUAUUAAAGAAAGCAUCACAUUAUUAGUAGAAUCAAUACACAAAACAUUAUUUCAUACACACCAUCACAAGGUAUACACACCAUCACAUUUAGCUUCAGCAAGCGAUCCACAUAUCUUUGCAUUUUCUGCAUGUGGCUCGUGACGGAAUCCCCGUCCUUCAUCAUGGAUGUUAUCAUGGAGCAGAUGAUUCCGUACCUCUCUUGUCGUGCACUUUGAUGGUAUCUUUCCAUCAAAUCUUGGUGCAUUUCAUAAGGGUAGAAAUCCUCAUAGGACUUUUGGAGUUCUGCUGUCAUUGUGGCCAUCAUGAUGCAUGCUACUUUCGUAGCAUCCCUUUCAUGUGCCUGAAAGUCAGCGAUCUCCUGAGGAGUUGCAGUGGUCUCAUCAAUCUCCUGAAGCUCCUUGUCAAGGACAUAUUCUUUGUCCUCGUAGCGGGUAAUCAUCCUAAUGUUUCCGAUCCAUUCAUUGAAGUUGGAUCCAUCAAAGGUGACUUUCCCACACAAACUCAUAAGAGUAAAGGAGCCAUUAGGAUUCGAGCCAGAAGCAUUACUUGAAGACAUCUGAAAGAGGAGAACUAGUUUAGUAUAGAUUUAAGAGAGUCCUUAAUAAAACACCCAAAUGUAAUAUUAAGGCUAGGAUCCAAUCACAAUAUAAUAUAACUUAGAAGAGGUAUGCCGUAAUCUAAGCUAUACCAUAUUUGAAAGGUAGGUGAAUGACGAUUCACCAAUUUCCACCACGAAAACCGCAAUAUUUUAGUAUUAGGUUUUUGAAUGGUUCUUAGAAAUUCCUAGAUUCUUUGAGAUUCAAUGAACUUUUCAAAGGCAUGUUUCAAUCUCGAGUGUGCCCUCCAAGUUUUGUGACUGGGAUACCGAGGAUCACAAAACGAGGUGUGAAGUAACCAUGCAAAUCACUUGGUACCCUUAAAGUUUAUCACUCAAUCGAUGUGCCGGUUAACCACACACGCUCCAUCGAUACUAUAAUAAACCCUAAGUCACCCUUUACCUACCUUGUUAAGUCCAAGUUAGUGUGCCGGUUAACCACACACGCUCCACCAACGACUUAAUCAAAGUGUAAAGUGUAAUUUCAUGGAAUAGCACCUUAUUCACAUUUUUCCUAAAGUAACUAAGAUUGGGAAUUUAAUAAAACAUUUAGUUACUUUAUAAUAUUCAUCAUACUUUGAAUGAGAAUUAAUAAGUCCUUGUCUUACCCGUUCGGCUAACGACCCUCCACCGAUCAAGCAAGCGGUGGGUGAGAGUGGACACCCAUUAAGUCACCAUUUUAUAGGCAACAACCUUAUACCCACCUUAUAGACCGGCUUCGUGAAUGAGGCGUACUAGCGGUAAGACGACUUUGUUCUUAUACAUAUAUAUAUAAUUAUUAAAUCAUAAUAAUAUAAGUAUAAGGGUUGAAUUUUAACUUUUAAAAUUCUAGGGGUUGGAACUAAAGUUUUAACUUAACUUUACUUGUUCCAAAACUUGAGGGCAAGUUUUGUAAACUUUCAAAACUUUUCAUUUCUUGUAACUUAUGAGUUUAAUAGAGUAAUAAAAUGAGGACUUUUCAUUUUUCCUAACUCUUGUGUUCUUUUAAUGGUUUUUAAUCCAAGAGACUUUUGGUUUUCCAUAACUUGAGGACAAGUUAUGGACUCCAUUAAAACACAUUAUGAUCAUGAAUUAAUCUACCACAUAGGUUACAAAUAAUUCCUAUGAUCAUCUAAACAUCAUAAGAACAAGAAUAUGAAUAUGAACACUUUCAAGAAUCAAAAUCACAUUUAAUCUUUGUAAUUUUGAUAACUAGUUGUUGUAAAUGAGUUAGAAAAGACAUUACACCUUCUAAAAUAAGUUUUCAAGUACCAAAACAUUUUAGGGUAAUGAUUCUAAUCCAUUUCCAGCAACUCAAGUCGAAAUUCUGCACUCUGUCGACCCUACUCGCCGAGUGCAUAAACCUACUCGCCGAGUAGGUUGAAGAUACACAUGAACUCGACGAGUCCUCCCCAUGGACUCGCCGAGUCCAUCAGUCAGACAGCAAGAUUUUCGACUUUCUUCAACUUUUAAGCACAAAUAACAAACAAACAAGCCUAGGCUCUGAUACCACUGAUGGGUUUUGAGCAUUCUAACACUUCCUAAGUGUACAUGCAACCCUAAUAACCUUGGAUCUAUGUUUGUCUAAUUAUCAUGCAAAGUUGAAUUCCAAGGUUAUAUUCCUAUCUAGCAUACAUGGGGAACAAUUUUAACUUGAAUCAUAGAUAGAAUAACUUACCUUGUUGUUGCUUGUGUUCCUUGAAACCUUGUGAGCCUAGCACCCCAAGUGUGAUGCCUCAAAUGCUUCACACAACACCAAAUGCUCUUGGAAAGACUCUUGAGAUAACACACACUUCUCAAAAUCGGCCAAGCCCUCUAGUUUCUUAGUGUAGCCGAUUUUGGUGGAGAAUAUGAUUCUUAUAUAGUGUUGACACAUCUAGGGUUACACCAUGUAAACCCUAAUGUGUCAUGACUCUUCAUUUCCAUGACCCAUGGGUUUGUAACUCCCAUGGAGCAUCCAUGGAGCAUCCUAUGGGUAGAACCCAACUUGAUAAUCCAUGGAGCCUCUUAGCCCACUAUACAAGAUAUGGAUGAUUUACAUAAUCAACCCAUAUAUUUAAUUAGUUAUCCUUUGAUCACUUAAUUAAUUCCAAAUUAAUUCUUUGAUCAACUAAUCAAAUAAUAUUAUUAAUAUAUUAGAACUUAUAAUAUAUUAAUAAUCUCCAAGUGUUAUUUCUCUCAUUUAGUCUAUCCAAUUGCAUGGUGCCAUGCAACCCAAAUGGACCAUGCCGGGUCGGGUCAAGUACAAGCCCGAAAUAGUUAUGGACUUAGACACCUUAUCCAACAGUCUCCCACUUGGAUAAGUCUAAUAACUAUAUCUCUAGUACUUCAGGAACCGACCGGCAAUCGUAGCUCUUUCAAGGUCUCUCGGAACUGAGAAGAUGAUGGUACGCCAUUUAAGAUAAGUGAUCAUAUAAUCCUCCGUUCUAGAUAUCAGCCGGACAAAUACAUGGAACAUUGUCUUGCUUAUUGUCCAGCAUUUGUUUCCCGAUUUCCGAUUUGUUUGACAUAGAACUUAAUUGAACACAUCAACUUAGUUCUGACCGGGCCCGGUACAUGGGUCAAAACAAAAUCAUCGAGGGGCCCAGAUAUCAGCUUCUAAUCCAAGAAGGAACAGAUAAACUUCGACUCAUAUGUUUGUUCUACCACUCAUUGAAUUACACACAAAAGUACGUUUUAUAACAUCGAGUUACCAAUGCGGUUUCGUACAGUCAAUGCAUAACCAACUUGUAAGUAACAAAUCAUAUCUCUAGGUUUGAAGACUUAUAUGAUAUUACCGUCUCACGAUCACUCGAGAUAGAAUUCCAUGAAGUGAUUCCAGUGAGCGUGGGUUGAGUCCAAUGCUCAGAACUUAUGAGCACUCAUGAUUGUUGUAGCCUUGUCCAACACCUUAGACCUCUACAACCCAUCAUGACAGUCUUGAUUCAUACCUACUUCCGACAUAUGACCGACUGUGGAGGUUUGAAUAAUAUGUUACACCAAACAAAAUUAUUCUGGAAGUCAAAACAUGCAAAAGAAAUAUAGUAAACGAUUGACAAGAGAUAGCAACACUUUACUCAUAAAUAAAACACCUUUUAUUCAUCAUCAAAUGUCAAUUACACUUUACAAAUUUCUGGGUUAUCUAACUACUAAAACUUAUAUCAUCCUUCAGCCCUAUGCUCCGAGCAUGCUGGAGAUGCUUAACCCUACUCAGUCCCUUCGUGAGGGGAUCUGCUGGGUUCUCAUCCGAUGAUACCCUCUUUGCCACGAGGAGUCCUUCUUCGAUCCGAUGUCUAAUGAAAUGGUAUUUUCUGUCGAUGUGUCUGGAUCUCCCAUGAUCCCUUGGUUCCUUGGCUAAGGCAACAGCACUUUCACUAUCACAGAAAAUUUCCAUUGGCUCUUUAAUAGCUGGUACAACUCCAAGGUCUCCAAUGAAGUUCUUCAGCCAUAUCGCCUCCUUUGCUGCUUCGCUAGCUGCAAUAUACUCUGAUUCACAAGUAGAAUCUGCCACUGUCUCUUGCUUGGAACUCUUCCAAGAAAUUGCUCCUCCGUUUAGGGUAAAGACCCAGCCCGACUGAGAGCGGAAAUUAUCCCUAUCAGUCUGGAAGCUAGCAUCACUAUACCCUACAACUCUCAAGUCAUCACUCCCACCGAGGGUAAGGACCCAGUCCUUAGUCCUCCGUAGGUACUUGAGGAUAUUCUUUACCGCAGUCCAGUGUGCCUUGCCAGGGUUCGCCUGAUACCUGCUAACCAUGCUCAAGGCAAAAGCUACAUCGGGUCGAGUACACGUCAUAGCAUACAUGAUCGAUCCUACAGCCGAAGCGUAAGGUGUUCGACUCAUUUCUGCUAUCUCAGCCUCAGUGCUAGGGCUUUGUGUCUUACUCAAUCUGGUGUUACUCUGGAUGGGUAACUCUCCUUUCUUGGAAUCCUGCAUGCUGAAUCUCUUCAGCACCUUAUCCAAGUAGGUACUCUGACUAAGUCCAAUUAGUCUUUUACUCCGAUCUCUCAAGAUUCUUAUCCCUAGAAUAUAGGCAGCUUCACCAAGGUCCUUCAUAGCGAAACACUUCCCAAGCCAGGACUUUACUUCCUGCAGGGUUGGAAUGUCGUUUCCUAUGAGUAGUAUGUCAUCCACAUACAAUACCAAAAAGCUAACUAUACUCCCACUAGCCUUGACAUACACACAAGAUUCAUCUUCACUCCUAGAAAAGCCAAAUUCCUUGACCUUUUCAUCAAAGCAAAGAUUCCAUCUGCGAGGUGCUUGCUUCAAUCCAUAAAUGGAUUUCUCAAGCUUACACACUCUAUUAGGGUACUCGUUGCUGACAAAACCCUCUGGCUGACUCAUGUAAACAUCUUCAGCCAACUUUCCAUUAAGGAAAGCGGUUUUGACAUCCAUCUGCCAUAUUUCAUAGUCAUGAAAUGCAGCUAUGGCUAACAGAACCCGAAUAGACUUAAUCUUGGCUACCGGAGAAAAGGUCUCAUCAUAAUCCACUCCAGGAAUUUGAGAGAAGCCCUUUGCAACCAGUCUAGCCUUAUAAGUGUGUACUUUACCAUCCAUGUCGGUCUUCUUCUUGAAGACCCAUUUGCACCCUACUGUCUUACGACCUGGUACAUUUUCAACCAAGUUCCAAACUUGAUUGUCAUACAUGGAUUGUAUCUCGCUAUCCAUAGCCUCUUUCCAUUUAGCAGACUCGGGGCCUGCCAUGGCUUCCUCGUAGCUGUUAGGGUCAUCUUGACUUACUAGUGUCUCAUCACUAAUAAGUGUCUCACCUUCUGCAGUAAUAUGGAAUCCAUAGUAAUGCUCAGGUGCACUCCUAACUCUCGUGGAACGUCUCAGAGGUACAGAUUUGUCAAUUGGCUCAACAGGAGUUUCCUCCUCAAGUUGAGGGCUAGAGUUUGAAGUUCCUUCACCGCUUGAUUCUUGAAUUUCUUCAAGAUCAAUUUGCCUCCCACUGUCUCCUUGGCUUAUAAACUCUCUUUCUCGAAAGACUCCUCUUCUUGCUACAAAGACCACAUUGUCACUAGGUCUGUAGAAGAGGUAACCAAAGGAUCGCUGUGGGUAACCGAUGAAAAUACACCUCUCGCUUCGAGGUUCGAGCUUAUCAUGAGUCUCGCGUCUCACGAAAGCCUCGCAACCCCAAAUCUUGAUGUGGUCUAGUUUAGGUACUUUACCAGUCCACAUCUCGUGAGGAGUUUUGGCAACUUUCUUUGUAGGGACUAGAUUAAGAAUAUGGGCGGCAGUCUCUAAGGCAUACCCCCAGAAUGAGAUUGGUAGCGUAGCUCGACUCAUCAUGGAACGAACCAUAUCUAACAAGGUUCGAUUACGCCUCUCAGCCACACCAUUCAACUGUGGUGUCCUGGGAGGUGUCAAUUGUGAGACUAUCCCACAUUCCCUUAGAUAGUCGAGGAACUCUGAACUAAGAUACUCACCACCACGAUCGGAUCGAAGCAUCUUAAUGUUCCUGCCCAAUUGAUUCUCGACUUCCUGUUUAAAUUCCUUAAACCUCUCGAAAGUCUCUGACUUAUGCUUGAUCAAGUAGACAUAUCCAUAUCUACUAUAAUCAUCAGUAAAAGUCAAAUAAUAACGAUUAGCAUCCCUUGUGGCAUGUUUGAAUGGUCCACACACAUCCGUGUGUAUAAGGUCCAACAAACCUUCACCCCUCUCACACGAACCUGUGAAGGGUGACUUUGUCAUUUUUCCAAGUAAGCAUGAUUCGCAACUAUCAUCUGACUUUAGGUCAAACGACUCCAAGACUCCAUCCUUUUGGAGUUGGCCUAUGCGUUUCUUGCUUAUAUGUCCAAGACGACAAUGCCAUAAAGAUGCUUUAUCCAAGUUAUUAUUAGUAGAAUCAAUACACAAAACAUUAUUUCCCAAGUUAUCUACAACAGAUACAGCUUCAUACACACCAUCACAAGGUAAUGCUUUAAAAUAAAAGACAUUAUUAUAGAAAACAUCUAUAGAACCAACUUCAUUAUUAAAUGAAAAGGUAAACCCUUGUUUGUACAAAGCAUGAAAGGAAAUAAUAUUUCUUGCCAUUCCUGGCGAAUAACAACACUUAUUCAAAUCUAAACUAAAC